ACUAAUGCUUACAAUUUUUCUAUAAUAUCCAAUUCAUAUACUAAAAAAAUCAAGCUGGUAUCGUUGGUACAUUUUGUACUUUUACGAGCGCAUAUGCUACCACAAGAUUACCGGGACGUUUAUAUCUGAAUACUACUGCUACUAAGUUUAUUCAUGUAAGCCAUAAGUUUUUUGAGAUUUUCACACUGGUCCAGGGCCAUUUUCUAUGUUACCCCCUGUAUUUUAAUUUAAUUUAAAGCAAUGCAUUCAAAUAUACUUAAAUAACCUCUAGAAAAAAUGUGUUAAUUUCUUAAAACAUUACAAUUUUUAAUUUACGAUUUAUCUCCGCUGGCUCCAUUGUACUGUCUAAUCAACAGUUGGCGUAACGUAACUAAAAUGUGAGCCAUCAUCAUCAUCAUGCGAAUAAUGCAAUAGAACAACAAAAUAAAAAACUAUAUCAAAACUUCAUUUAAAAGAUAGAUAUUCCAAAUCUGCAGCAUGCAAGUAUUUGAUCAACCUUCAACUUGGAAGAUUUUAUUCGUAUGACAUCAUGUGUUGUAAUGACGCUUAUCCAUAUCUAACUAUGUAAGACAUCACGUAACUUUGAUGACGUAGCACUCCGUCAUCUUUAGAAAAUUUGCUCUUCAAUAAACUAAUUUUUCCGUUUGCUAGUUUUUGCUGAUCUGUCCUUAGUCUUCUUACACAUAUAUUUCUUAACAUUUUGAACCUGGUAGUUUUAAUUCGAAUGACAUUACGUCCCUGAUCAAUUUUAAAUAAAUUAAGGUAGAUACAUGGUAUACCCGCAUAUGCCGCCAUCUUGGAUUGUAUAAUCACAGUAAAAAAUCGGUCUAGUUAUUUGACUAAAUCUGCAAAUUUG
rnacentral:lncRNA from 1 species